GUUGGGCCCAGUGGUCUGGCAAUUCCCGCCUCCGUGUUUGCGACACCCUGGCCGCUGUAAAGUUCGGAGAUUUGAAUUGAGCGGCACUGACGGAUGCUCAGAGAAGAACCUGGCAAACCUUAAAAGCGUUUCCUCUCCGUUGGUCUACAAACCUGAAGAAUGAGACUUCGAGUUUCCAAGGAAACGGAUGCACGGGUUAAACUACCGGUUUCAAAAAGUCAAACGGAGAAGACUCUUUUCCUUUAAAUUCUGCGGUUUACUCCAGUCGUUCACUCCUCAGGCGUUCGCCUUCCGGAGCCGCCAAGUACCUCGGGUCUCCUUGCUGUGGAGGCUUCCAUCGCGUCUCGCUGCCUGACCUCGCGCUGGGAUUGGUUGCUUGGUUUCUGCUCUGGCGGUUAGGAAUCUAAGUAAACAAGAAAGCAUGAUGUCUUCAGUGGUCUGAAUAUGCAAUUGGUGGGGUGAAGAUUAACUUUACUUGUAAAGCUUAUCCAUCACAGCUUGCUAUGAUGAAUUCUUAGAUUGUCAGAGGAUUAAAUAGUAAGCAACAUUGUUUGUUGAAGAGCCCUACAGGAAGUGGGAAAAGCUUAGACUUGCUUUGUUCUGCUUUAGCAUGGCAACAAUCUCUUCAUGGGAAGCCAGUGGAUGAAAGAUUCAGUAAAAAACCUAAAGUACCAUUGUUAUGUUGUUGUACAGCUGUUCAAAGAAUUUUACAAACAAUGACAUGAGCCAAGGAACUUCACAUUAUUUCAACAGUCCAAGUACACCACCUUCUGAAAUGUCACUUCAUCAACUUGUCAAGGCCACCCAUAAGGACAAGUGUGAUGGAUGUCUCUCCUGUUUACUUUUUUAUAACAAGCAUCUGGCACAGGACCUGCACCUAGUAGGUACUCAUAUAUUUGUUGCAUAAAUUAAUGAAAAAAUGGCCAAAGUUAAGGAAGUGGAUGAUUUACCACUAUUUCUUAUGGCUUACAACUUUUACUCAGAUCCAUAUACUUAAGGAAGUGUGUCAAUGCUGUUAAAUAUAGGAGAU